rnacentral:rRNA from 1 species
UAGGCGUACGGGUGAGUAACACGUGGAUCAUCUACCUCUUUGUGGGGGGAGUAAACCCCUGGGAAACCGGGGCUAAUACCGCAUAAGCUCGAGAGAGGAAAGCAGCAAUGCGCAGAGAGAGGAGUCCGCGGCCGAUUAUGCUAGUUGGUAGGGUAAAAGCCUACCAAGGCUAAGAUCGGUAGCCGGCCUGAGAGGGCACACGGCCACACUGGCACUGAAACACGGGCCAG